AUUGAACGCUGGCGGCAUGCCUUACACAUGCAAGUCGAACGGCAGCACGGGUGCUCGCACCUGGUGGCGAGUGGCGAACGGGUGAGUAAUACAUCGGAACGUACCUUUCGUGGGGGAUAACGCAGCGAAAGCUGUGCUAAUACCGCAUACGCCCUGAGGGGGAAAGCGGGGGAUCGCAAGACCUCGCGCGAUUAGAGCGGCCGAUGCCUGAUUAGCUUGUUGGUGGGGUAAAAGCCCACCAAGGCGACGAUCAGUAGCUGGUCUGAGAGGACGAUCAGCCACACUGGGACUGAGACACGGCCCAGACUCCUACGGGAGGCAGCAGUGGGGAAUUUUGGACAAUGGGGGCAACCCUGAUCCAGCAAUGCCGCGUGAGUGAAGAAGGCCUUCGGGUUGUAAAGCUCUUUUGUCAGGGAAGAAACACCGGCUCUAACACAGUCUGGGAAUGACGGUACCUGAAGAAUAAGCACCGGCUAACUACGUGCCAGCCGCCGCGGUAA
rnacentral:rRNA from 1 species